rnacentral:rRNA from 1 species
GUGCUCCCCCGCCAAUUCCUUUAAGUUUCAGACUUGCGUCCGUACUUCCCAGGCGGCAAACUUAACGGCUUCCCUGCGGCACUGCAUUGGCCAUAAGCCAAUGCAUCACCGAGUUUGCAUCGUUUACAGCUGGGACUACCCGGGUAUCUAAUCCGGUUUGCUCCCCCAGCUUUCAUCCCUCACCGUCGAACGUGUUCUGGCAGACCGCCUUCGCCACUGGUGGUCCUCAAUGGAUCAGAGGAUUUUACCCCUACCCACUGAAUACCGUCUGCCUCUCCCACUCCCUAGCUCUGUAGUAUCUCCAGCGGCCCAUCUGUUGAGCAGGUGGAUUUAACCGAAGACUUGCAGAGCCGGCUACGGAUGCUUUAGGCCCAAUAAACGUCCUGACCACUCGAGGUGCUGGUAUUACCGCGGCGGCUGACACCAGACUUGCCCACCCCUUAUUCACCUGUGCUUUUAGGACAGGCAAAAGACUCCUUUAUCAGGAAUCACUCGGACUGACCCAGUCGUGCUUUCGCACAUUGCUAAGGUUUCGCGCCUGCUGCACCCCGU